rnacentral:rRNA from 1 species
AUUGAACGCUGGCGGCAGGCCUAACACAUGCAAGUCGAACGAGUGGCGGACGGGUGAGUAAUGUCUGGGAAACUGCCCGAUGGAGGGGGAUAACUACUGGAAACGGUAGCUAAUACCGCAUACCAUCGGAUGUGCCCAGAUGGGAUUAGCUAGUGGGGGGGGUAACGGUGCACCUAGACAACGACCCCUAGCUGGCCUGAGAGGAUGACCAGCCACACUGGAACUGGGACACGGUCCAAACGCCAACGGGAGGCAGCGGUGGGGAAUAUUGCACAAUGGGCGCAAGCCUGAUGCAGCCAUGCCGCGGGUAGGAAGAAGGCCUUCGGGUUGUAAAGUACGUUCAGCGAGGAGGCGUUACUCACAGAAGAAGCACCGGCUAACUCCGUGCCAGCAGCCGCGGUAAUAC